AUCACUUCCAGCUCAAGACUGAGCGUGGGGGAAGAGCCUCGGCCACCGGAGGGGAGCAGGACGCGCUGGUCAGGUUGCACGGUGUGAAGAAAAAUCUCAAGUCAGAAGAAAGCUUUGCUGAGGCAACAUGAAGGCGUAAGACCCGAUGAAGUUAUACUGUACAGGUUUCUCCUCAGCCUGCUCAUUGAGGAAAGACCACUUGCUCACAGUGCCCAAGGUAAGCUCACUUUCUCUCCACCCCCAACUUAAUUGUUUUGCUCUCUGCCACCCACAGAUAUCUUGUCAUCCUCCAAGGCCUAGUUUACUUCCUGGCCCCAUACCCAUGCAGGAAACAUUCACUUGCAUUCCCCAGGGUCCUAACUUUGAUGAAUCUGGGGAGACAGAACAUAUUGGGAUCUCAACCAAAGGACCAAGAGAGGAGGAAUAAAUCAGGACCAUGGGCAGGGCCUGGAGAAAGGCACGUGGGCACAGGGGCUGCUGGCCUCUGCAGGUCUAGCCCAGGGUAUGAAAUGCUGAGCCUGCAGUAGCUCAAAAUAUGGCUGGUCCUGGUGCUGUCCAGGGUACCCAUUUUGGCAAUCAGAGCAUAGCAGCCUGAGUAGGCUAGGUGCUGGUGGUCCUGAGGGUUAGGGGCAGAGGUUGAAAGAUUGUGGUCCUGGGUGAUACUCUUUUCCCUCUUUUCCUCAAAUGUUCAUCUUUCUCCUCCAGAUCCCGGGUUUGAUCCCUAGACUCACAUGGCUUAAGGAUCCAGUGUUGCUAUGAGCUGCAGUGUAGGUUGCAGAUGAGGUUUGGAUCCCACAUUGCUGUGGCUGUGGCAUAGGACAGCAGCUGCAGCUCUGAUUCCACCCCUAGCCUUGGAACUUCCAUAUGCUGCAGGUGAAAUACACACACACACACACACACACACACACAUACACACCUACAUGGGCUGCAGCACAGAGACAUGUAACUGACUGCUGGGCUAAACCCAAACAUCCAUUGUGGGCCAGCCUAGGGCUAGUAUCCUAGGGCCAUCCUUGUCUGGGACAGGAUGUCAUACAGACAUCAUUUGUUCAUAAGGUAC
rnacentral:lncRNA from 9 species